UAAGACAGAGGUGCCGAGCGUUAGGCGGAAUCACUGGGCUUAAAGCGUGUGUAGGCGGACCGUUAAGUGCCUUGUGAAAUCCCACGGCUCAACCGUGGAACGGCUGGGCAGACUGGCGGUCUUGAGCCACCUAAGGGCGGACGGAACAAGCGGUGGAGCGGUGAAAUGCGUAGAUAUCGCUUGGAACGCCGACGGCGAAAGCAGUCCGCUGGGGGUGAGCUGACGCUGAGACACGAAAGCCAGGGGAGCGAACGGGAUUAGAUACCCCGGUAGUCCUGGCCGUAAACGAUGUCGACUAGGUCGCGGCCGCCCCUGACGGGCGGUCGCGGCCGCAGCAAAAGUGCUAAGUCGACCGCCUGGGAAGUACGGUCGCAAGGCUA
rnacentral:rRNA from 1 species